UUUGAAAUCGCUGCGGCGAGUUGUAGAUUGCAGGUGGGGCCGUCUGCGGCGGUGCGUGUCGAAGUCCCUUGGAACAGGGCGCCAUUGAGGGUGAGAGCCCCGUGCGACGCGUGCCCAUGCUUUGAUGCCCCUCUGACGAGUCGAGUUGUUUGGGAAUGCAGCUCUAAGCGGGUGGUAAAUUCCAUCUAAGGCUAAAUACUGGCGAGAGACCGAUAGCGAACAAGUACUGUGAAGGAAAGAUGAAAAGCACUUUGAAAAGAGAGUGAAACAGCACGUGAAAUUGUUGAAAGGGAAGGGUAUUGGGCCCGACAUGGGACGUGCGCACCGCUGCUCCUUGUGGGCGGCGCUCUGGGCGCGUUCUGGGCCAGCAUCGGUUUUCGCCGCAGGAGAAGGGGCCGUGGAAUGUGGCUGCUUGCAGUGUUAUAGCCACGGCCAGAUGCUGCGUGUGGGGACCGAGGGCUGCGACAUCUGUCU
rnacentral:rRNA from 1 species